rnacentral:rRNA from 1 species
UACGGAGGAUGCAAGCGUUAUCCGGAAUCAUUGGGCGUAAAGAGUCCGUAGGUGGCGCAUCAAGUCUGUCGUUAAAGAGCAGGGCUUAACCCUGGAAAGGCGGUGGAAACUGAUGAAGCUAGAGUACGGCAGGGGUAGAGGGAAUUCCCAGUGUAGCGGUGAAAUGCGUAGAGAUUGGGAAGAACACCGGUGGCGAAAGCGCUCUACUAGACCUGUACUGACACUGAGGGACGAAAGCUAGGGGAGCGAAUGGG